ensembl:lincRNA
AAAUCAUCACGUGUGCUGCUGGAAUGAAAAGUGGCGUCAUCUGUUGACUCGCCCUCGUAUUUCCUCCUCUUCAAACAUUUUCUCAUCACUAUCAGCUGCUUUGUUACUAUCCUAAACACCUUUUCACGAACACUCAAUAAUAGACAGUUUAAAUUUGUCAUUCAAACUUGCUUUUGCUUUGAUGUUCUUAUUUAAAGAUCAAAAAAUGUCAAUGUUCCACAAGUGGAAUUGAAUUUCCCCUUAUCCAAAGGAUGUUGGAAGUGAAUAUGAAGAAUACGGAACUGACGGUCUUCAAUCAGCCACAAUCGGUCACCCUGCGCGCCGGCAUGCAUCUGAUACACAGAAUCGCCGACCGCUUACCAACCUCAAUCCUCAGGUCCAUUUACACAGGCCCGCUGCCAUCCGGCGCCCACAAAAUCACGUUCUUUCUCAAGAAUACUUAUUGGGGUCAGAUGCUACUCUUCUUUCCACUGGACCAGAACGACCAACCUCUGAGGAAGACCCUGCAUUCAGCCCUCUUCCAACAAUGGAAUUUGACCUUCUCUCUGAGAUUUAUGAUUCACUGCCCAUCUCCAACAUCGAGCCAGCAGGGUUACUCAUGCCCUCACGCAGUCUAAACACCUUAUUGGACACUGGAACUUCAUGUUCCCAAUCACCUUACCAGCGUCUCAGUGAUGUGAAUACAAGGCUAAAGGCACCUUGGAAGCUGCAGGCAUUUCCUAACAGUGUCCGACAUGGAAAUGCCAACAUGGAAAUCAAGUUGCCACAUUCACCACUGUGCAAUAUGCGCAAGAAUGUUUUGCUUCAAACCUCCGCCAAUGAGCAAUCUGACACUCUCAAUGACGGACUUGAUAACACAACUGAAAAGCCUGAACAAGACCUGGAAGUUUCUGCAUCUGUGGAGUGUCAGCAAGACGUGAGAGAAGGCACAGCGGGAAGCAACGAGACAGAUAAUCUCUCAGAAAAGACAUUUUUCAGGAAUACGGGUACAUCUGACUCCAUUUCUGAGGUUUUGACUCCUGAAAAUGAAAGUCAAGGUUUUGCUUCUGAGAGCCUGCAGUCCGGGCGAUCACAGGGUGCAUCCCAUGUCACUGCUGCUUCGGCCUCUCCUCGUGUAACUCCUGAAAAUGAAAGUCAAGGUUUUGCUUCUGAGAGCCUGCAGUCCGGGCGACCACGAAGCGCAUCUCAUGUCACUGCUGCUUCUGCCUCUCCUCGUGUAACUCCUGAAAAUGAGAGUCGAGCCUUGGCUUCCAAGUGUCUGCAGUCCGGGCGAUCACGAGGCGCAUCCCAAGUCACCGCUGCUUCGGCCUCUCUUCGUAUCUCAGCUGUUGCACCUGGCACGGUCCAUGAACUCUGCAAACAUUAUAGCAAAUAGCGAAGGGUGACACUUCGUUUACAGAACUACUUGAUGUUCCUUCACAACCCAUUGCUUCGUCCUGAAGCUCAAGGCCAGGAGCCACAAAGCUCUCAAGGCACUUUCUUGCACUUAAUUUUCAUUAAAUCUUUAAUUCUUGUUUUUAUUUUAAUUUUAUUUUCAGGGCUGUUCAUGUUUAAUGCUCCCUUUAUCUUUAUAAUAUAUCUCACUUUUCGAGAAGCUUUGCCUGAUUACAAAAAGGCUCAUUUUGAGAGCAUUUCGAGACUGUGUGGUUGGUAAUGUGGAUACAAGGGUAGCAUGAUAGAGACCAACAGGAUGGUUAGGUCAGAAUCUCAUUUGGAAAGCUGAUUUGGCUUGCCCAAAAUACGUUUUAAUGGCUUUUAACAUCAUAAUAAUUAAAGCUUGUUUUAAGUGAUCCAAUCCAACGAUAGGCCAUCCAAGUCAUGGUUGGAUGCUCUGCUUUUUAACGGUCUAAAAGGUAGUAGGGGAGGAGAGUCAUCCUUUCCUGGUUUAAUUUUAAUGCAUCCACUUGUUACAUUCAGCUUUGUGCUGUAACAAAGAAGGACUUUUAAAUGCAUUCGUUACACUGAAGAGCUGAAAUUGACAUUGGUGAACAACUUUCCCGCAUUGAUUAAGUUGGACUGCUUAUGCUGCUCUUGCUUUUUAAAAAAGAGAAUUCCUUCAGGCAAUGUCGGCAAUGCCAGCUUACCUGAUAAAUGCCAUAUCGGUCAACCCUAAUUGGGUUUUGACAGUCGUGUUUUUAACACCGUGCCAAUCUUACCACAUCAUUAUUAACUGUUAUUCCCACCACCUCCUCCACUCCAACACCUCCCUCUUUUUAUUGCUCCACCAAUGUGCUGCCUAUGCUAGUUCAAGCCUUAAACAGGGCCGGCAAAGGCUAAACCCAGCCUUCCCAUAUACCACAUCAAAGAACAUUGCAGUGUCUGACUCAAAUGAAGCCUCAUGCCACACUUUGUGUUUUCACCCUCACACACCCAAAAGCUUUUUGCCCUUCUGUUAACUUGACAAGACCACAGCUGAGACAGAUUUGUGGCUUACUGUGUCCAUAAUGACUUGUUUUCCGAGUGAACCAUUUUGAAUGAGACUGGGCCAUACAUUUCAAUAAAAUGUGAAACAAUAUCACAAGGAAUAACCUUGUGAAAUAAGUUAUAUUGUUGAUAUAUUGUACUUGAGCUUUAUGUUGCUCGAGCUUGUGCUGAUGUUGCAGAGAUGUUACAGCUUAAGUUUCAUUUGACUUCUGGUACGAUGUCUUUGUGAAUGUUUCCUCCUGGAUGCAAAUGGUACAUAUUUACGUGUUGGUCCUCAGACUCUGCUGCCAUGCCUUUUGUGGGAUUUCCUGCUUCCAAUGUGAGGCUGGGGUACUGCUCUCUCUUUGUUAGCUAACGUUAUUUGGUGAAUCGUUUUUAACCUCUUGUGACUCCAACCUCAUUGACUUGAAUUGCUGUCCACCUGUUUUGUGUCAUGCUGAAGACUGGUGCGAUGCGAUGCUUUCCAGUUGGUCCCAGCUUUCAGUUUUAAUGCAUUGUUUGUUUAUUUAUCCCUGAAUUUUGUCAACAACCAAUGAAUAAACUGGCAAUGAGAAAACGAGCAGAGGAGAACACGUUUCUUUCCUUUCGUGGAAAGAGAUACUACUCUUGAAGAAGGGCUUCUGUUUCCGGGUAUGUGCAACUUGGAUGUUGAAUCAUGCAGUUCCUCCUUAAAGAAAGGCCCUGCAAAUUACCUGGUAGAACGAAACAUCAAAGCUCAGUUUUCUAGACCACAUCUGUCAUGUGUUUCUGUUAUAUUUUUAUCCCUGUGUUGCUGUUUGUGUUUUGGUCUAAUUCUCCUUGUUAAACCAUACCUUGUUGUGUUUUAUUGUAACCACACGCACAUGAAGCGAAAGCAGGGUUAAGCAAUUGGUUCAUGUCCGACCGUCCAUUCAUCCAUCUGUCUGUCUGUCUUAUCAGUUUAUGAUUGUUAGUUUGUAAUCGAAGAAUAACGUAUUUAAAUUGAAUGUUAUUUUUUGACCACGAACAUGAAAAAGAAGACAAGUCUGUCGUUUUAAUGUUCCUUGGCUUAGAAUUCAUCCUGGCCGCGUAUGUGCAGAGGGGAUUGAGAUCAUAUUUUUAUCCUGUCUGCCUGCCUGACAGUCAAACAAAAUUGAAAGUCAUCCCAAACAGAAAACUUACUGUUUUUAAGAGAGUUAUUAAGGACAUAAGUAACAGGCACGAAUGAGUAAUGUAAUGUGUUCGAUAUGGUGGUUAAACCUGUAAUUUUUUCUUUAUAUAUACACCUUGCAACCUUUAUGUAAAUUGAAUUAUAUAUUUGAACACCGUCGAACACAAAUCGCCUUCAUAAUAACUCCAAGAACCUUCAGUUUUGCAGAGGUUUGUUCAGUUAGCAAGUUUCUUGCAGGGUCCUCAGCGAGUGGCUUAAGUACUCAAGCAAGCACUCCAUUCAAAACCAUUGAUAAGGAAUGGCUGGCUUGGCAAGCAUAAACUAGCUGCUUGGUAACUGAACACACCUCAGCACUUUGACAGAAUUAGUUUAUUUAUACGACUUUUACAAUCUUUAUUUUCUGUAAAUUUAAUUUUAUUCAGUACUUGAACACCGUCAUAAUACUUCCAGGAACAUCCAGUUUUGCACUGUGCUUCAAUUUAAAUAAAGUUUAAUGGGGGUGGUGUAUAAGAGUGGUGUUCUGGACUACUUCAAUAGCACUCAAUAAAAUCAUUAUUUUAGUAAAAUUGGAGUAACAUUGCACAGGGUAUCAUGUUCUAUGAACUCUGGUUGAGUAUGCGUUCCUGUGAAUGUCUGGCCUACUCGCCCAGGCAUCAGCUCGCUGGCUGCAAAUUAUGUCUUUGCAACACCACCACAUCCCCUGUUCCACAACCUUUCUCCCAAGUAUUGUCCUUUCAGCUUCUUCAGCUUUAUCCUAUUCCUCCUCCUUGCUUCGAAGAAUUUUUUUUUCACUCCAAAAAAAAAUCUUGAACUCAUUUUGUCUUUUCUUCCUUCCUACAUUGAGCAUUGCAUCAAGAGAAUGGAUGACAUUGAGGAAUAAAUAAAUGUCGAGGAUUCUGUAUGGGUAGAGAUUAGAGAUUGUAAAUACAGUAAGAUACUGGUAGGAUGCUUUUAUAGGGCUCCUGGUGUGAAGGAAGAAGAGGAAGAAGGAGUACAUGAAGAAUUCAAAAGGGCACGUGGUAAGGGAAGAGUAUUGAUUAUUAUGGGGGAUUUUAACUUGCGAGGGAUAGAUUGGAUCCAGGAACAGGGAAAGGGUAGAGCAGAUGAGGAUUUCCUAGUUUUAGUCCAGGAUUGCUUUUUAAUCAAGUUUGUAGAUAAGCCCACUAGGGGGAGUGCAGUGUUAGACCUCCUUUUAAGUAACGAUCCCAAUGUGGUGGAGGAGGUGGAGCAUUUCUGCACCCGAGAGUCCCCC